AUGGCAGAUUCUUAUGGUAGCAACCACGACAGAAAUUCUAAACAGGAUCUCCUGGUGCGUUCCAAAAGAAGAUGGGUCUUAUCUACAAUUGAAUUAGAAGAAGAAAAGGAUGCACACUACCCCAUGGAGAUUACACAGAUGUAUAAUGACAAGAUUGACGGAAAAGACUUUAGGUUCCUUUUAAGUGGUGAAGGUGUGCCGGACGUGUUUACGGUCAAUGAAAACAACGGAGUCGUCUAUGCACAUAAAAAAGUGGACAGGGAGAAAAAGCCCCUUUAUCAUAUCAACUUUGAUGUGUUGGACAGAAAUACAGGUGAAAAACUAGACCGCGAACUAGCAUUUGAUGUUGAAAUACAAGACAUAAAUGAUAAUCCACCCAGGUUCUCUCUUUCUGAAGUAACAGUUGAUGUAAAGGAAAAUAUACAAGCAGGGAUUUUGCCAGUUACCCUGGUGGUCACAGACAUAGAUCAGGAAAACACACCCAACUCUGAAUUUGACAUCACGUUGGUUUCACAGACUCCAGCAGUGCCCAAAAUUGCUGUGCAGCAAUACGAAGGAGGACUGGCCCGACUUGUCUUGAAAGGAUGUUUUGACUAUGAUAAAGCAAAAGAGUAUAAAAUCAUCUUACAAGCAAAAGAUCAUGGAACAAAGCCAAAGGCUCUGUCCUCUACUGCUGUUGUUAACCUGAACAUUGUCGAUGCAAACACUCACCAACCAACAUUCAAGGAGAGACAGUACUAUGGUAAAUCAAUAGAAAUGGCCACCAGUGAUAACAUUUUGAGAGUUGCUGUGGACGAUAAAGAUACUCCUAACACUGAUGCAUGGCGUGCCAAGUACUUGAUAAUUGCAGGGAAUGAAGAAGGAACCUACAAAAUUGAAACUGAUCCAGAAACAAAUGAGGGUGUCCUGAGUAUUGUCAAGUCAAAGAACUAUGAACAUACGACUUUAGUGAACUUGCAGAUUGGAGUAAAGAAUGUUGAAGACUUAUUUGUUUGCCCAUCACUGUUCGAUUCAACCAGCAUCAUACUACACAUGAUUGAUACCAAUGAUACAGACAACGUGUACCUGAAGGAGGAAGAGGAGCCAGGAAAGGUGUUGUUCAAGCCAAAGGUUCAUGAUGUUGACUCUAAUGAUACCAGGUAUGUGCUCCUAGAUGAUCCAGCUGACUGGGUGGCCAUUGAUAAAAAAACAGGAGAAAUCACAUCAACUAAGAAGAUGGACAGAGAGUCAGAAUUUGUUGAUGACAAGAAUGUUUACAAAGUCCUCAUAGCUGCCAUAGAUGACGGUAAACCUCCAGCCACAAGCACAUACACUGUCAAGAUCCACCUGGCGGACAUCAAUGACAAUACCCCUGAGCUGGUCAACAACACCGCUGUCAUAUGUGGAAACAAGGUUAACAAGGUCAAGGUGCGUGCAAAGGACCUAGAUGCCGAUCCUUAUAGUGGACCCUUCUACUUCUCUCUGGGGGAUAAUGAAACUCUAAAGCAACAAUGGAAAAUAGAACCUGAAUGUGGUGUGGAUGCUUUUCUUAUUAGCCUGAAGACACUUCCUUAUCUUAACUAUUCAAUUCCCCUGGUGAUUAUAGACCAACAGAACAAAGCUGGACAUGAUACUCUGGAAUUCAUGGUGUGUGAAUGUGAAGAAAAUGAUGUUUGCAAAGAGCCACCUUCAAUAAGUUUUGGACCAGCUGACAUUGGAGCACUUACUGCAAGAUUGCUUAUAUUUUUGUCACUCCUAAUCGUGUUUUUGUGUGUAAAGAAGAAGAUUAAGAAUGUGCAACAAGAUAAGGGCAUGUACAACCAAGAAGGAGGGAGUUCUUCAUGCAAGGCUGAGCCCACUUGUCCCCAGUCAGAUAAUAUAGUAGUGGCAGACGCAGGCGACAACGCAGAUAUUGGAGACUGUCCUAGUAAUGACAUAUGAUGUGUCUACCAUGCUGUAAAAUGCUGAUGGGGUAUUGUCGCCAAGCCGCAGGCUGCGCAGGCAGACGGGAGGCGUGGACACCCAAGUUAUGUGAAUGCAGUCCAGCUGUUAAGUGAUGACAUAUACACCAUGCUACUGGGUCCCAACUACACUGUGUUCUUUAAGGCUGUUGUCUUUUUAAUGUGUUUUAAUGCUUCGUGUCUUGUUCUAUUUAAUCUGAAAAAGCCCCUAAAAAUAGUCUGGCCUCUCUGGGUUUAUAUUAGCACUAUUCUGCAGCACGUUUUAAAGCUCAGUUUUAAAACCUUACGAUGUAACUACAGCCCAUCGACUCAGGAUUUGCCAGACAUAUUUUAACAAUAUUUUAACUUGUGAGAAAAUACACUCUGAGGCUUAUAAAGAUUUAAAUGGGUAUAUGAAGCUCAGGAUCAGGAAUUUUUGAUAGCGAAGAAUCCAAAGGAUAUUAAUGUGUAUAUAUUCAUCCAUCCACUUCCGCUUAUCCUUUUCAGGGUCGUGGGGGGCACUGGAGCCUGUCCCAGGGCAAGAGGCAGGG